UAUAUUUAGAAGCCUGUUUGUUUGUUUGUUUUUUGAUAAGCGACAGAAAGGGAGUGGAAGAAAAGAGGAGCUGGAAGGAGUAGACGCAAGUUAUCUGUAAUUACGAUAUAUUUUAUGAAAGAAAAUCUAUAAUAAAAAAGCAAACAAAUAAGCAGAGAAACAACCAGAAGAUUUACUCAAAGAUUUACCACACUUUUCCUUUCUCUGCUCCUUCCCAAAUAGAAUAAAAUGUUGCUCUCUGACUUGGGCUCUUAAAAAGUAGAGGAACCAUAUCCAAAAUUAGGCCUUGAAGAUUCCAGAGCAGAGCCUAGGUCAAGGGUGUGUGGUACAGUGGUAUGGGCAUGAGAAACAAGUGGGGAUUUUACCCCAUUCAGAUUCAUAUUAUAUUUUGGGGUGUGCAAGGGAUCCCCUGUUGUUAGCUUGUGUCUACUUGUAGCCAUUUAGAAAGAAGAUGUUAUAGGAACUGGAGCAAGCUUUGAAAUGCUCCACUUGGGGGAAACAUAAGAAUCAUGGCUAUGUAAGUGCCUGGCAAACACAGAAGUGGAUGCUCACAACAAUCUAUUGGAUGGAACACAGGGUCCCCAAUGAAGGAGCUAGAGAAAGUACCCAAGGAGCUGAAGGUGUCUGCAGCCCUAUAGGCAAAACCACAAUAUGAACUAACCAGCACCCCCAGAGCUCCUGUCUCUACCUGCACAUGUAGCAGAGGAUACCCUAGUCGGCCAUCAAUGAGAGGAGAGGUCCUUAGUCUUGUGAAGAUUCUAUGCCCCAGUAUAGGGGAAUGCCAGGGCCAGGAAGUGGGAGUGGGUGGGUUGGAGAGCAGGAGGAGGGGGGAGGUUAUAGGGGAUUUUCAGAGAGGAAACUGGGAAACUGGAUAGCAUUAGAAAUGAAAAUGAAGAAAACAUCUAAUAAAAAAAAAUAAAAAGAACCACGGCUGUUCAUGUGAAAGGGUAAAAGAGAAGGUGCUGUCUGCUGAAAACUCACUCUUCACCUCUUCAAAUUCCAUGAUCAGAGCCAGCUAGGUGAAGGAGAAUGAAAAGCUGAAAGCUUGUCACCAGGCAUAUAGUAAGAGCCUCCAGGGAGUGAGUGUGGGGGAGGUUGUAUGUGUAAGAGGGGGUGGGCAGAGGCUCUGAAAGAACUCCCUGUACUCUCCACUCAAUUUUCUUUGAACCUAAAGAUUCUCUUAAAAAUAAACUCCAUUAAGAUGAUAACUUAUCUGACAAGGUGGAUCUCUAUCUUUUAAGAGUCACCUAGGGUUGAUAUGAUUUUAAUUGUUAAUUAAAGCAGCUCAAGCCAUUUCUACCGAGAGAGCAGGGCUAGCUCCUCUGUUCUGAAGAACGAUAAGGAUUUCACUAAAUACAGAUAAUAGAAGUUGCUUUUGGCCAACUCUCCUGGGGUCUAUCUUUGGAGAGGAUAUCGACUGCGAAGGAAUUGUACAGAGCUUGCAAGAAAAAUAAAAGAAGUAAAUAUUGAAGAUAUUGGAGACUCCAGGAAAUGUUUGCAUACGUACCUGUUGCAACUUAGUGUGUGUUUGUUCAGAUGAAGAAGUGAACUAAUGGACUGCAAAGAAGAUGGCUCUGGAUCCCUAAACUAAUACAUACUAGUGCAAAAAAAAAUGUAGACUUUGGUGAGAACAGAAAAAAAGAAACCUGUAUCUUAGCAGUCAAAUAAAAUAGAAAAAGC
rnacentral:lncRNA from 1 species